UCCUCAGUAGCUCAGUUGGUAGAGCGACGCACUGUUACUGCGUUGGUCGUACGUUCGAACCGUACCUGGGGAG
rnacentral:tRNA from 1 species